rnacentral:tRNA from 1 species
GCGGGUGUGGCGGAAUUGGUAGACGCAGCGGACUUAAAAUCCGCAGGGCCCUGGCCCGUGGGGGUUCAACUCCCCCCACCCGCACCA